GGCCUUGACAUACUAAGAACUUUCCAGAGAUGGAUUGGUGCCUUCGGGAACUUAGAUACAGGUGCUGCAUGGCUGUCGUCAGCUCGUGUCGUGAGAUGUUGGGUUAAGUCCCGNAACGAGCGCAACCCUUUUCCUUAUUUGCCAGCGGGUCAUGCCGGGAACUUUAAGGAUACUGCCAGUGACAAACUGGAGGAAGGCGGGGACGACGUCAAGUCAUCAUGGCCCUUACGGCCAGGGCUACACACGUGCUACAAUGGUCGGUACAAAGGGUUGCUACCUCGCGAGAGGAUGCUAAUCUCAAAAAGCCGAUCGUAGUCCGGAUCGCAGUCUGCAACUCGACUGCGUGAAGUCGGAAUCGCUAGUAAUCGCGGAUCAGAAUGCCGCGGUGAAUACGUUCCCGGGCCUUGUACACACCGCCCGUCACACCAUGGGAGUUUGUUGCACCAGAAGUAGGUAGUCUAACCGCAAGGAGGACGCUUACCACGGUGUGGCCGAUGACUGGGGUGAAGUCGUAACAAGGUAAGCGUAGAUGA
rnacentral:rRNA from 1 species